CAAACGGCCCUUUUCAGGGCCACCACAAAAUACCAAAGUCCACCAC
rfam:Cyphomyrmex costatus contig20008, whole genome shotgun sequence.